AAAGAGGGAACAUUGUUCAAACAACAAUGAAAUGGUGUAGCUGGUGCUGUUGUUAAGUGUAGACAAUGAUCUCAAGUUCAUUUUUUACACAGUGCUGGAACAAAUAAUCAAAUUAACUGUUACUAUAGACCAGGGAGAAGACAGAAGCACAAGAAAGAGUUGGUGUGGAUUUGUCAGGAACAGCUGAUUUGCAGUAGCUCUGCGGGAAAUGCUCUGGGGAUGGCACUGGUUUAUAAACAGAACACUGUAGGUCCUUCAGAGAGGAGAUCCAAUCUGUCCUGCCAGGGAUGGGGGCACAAACGUGCAUGCAUCACUCUGCUUUGUGUACAGACUUCAGCCACAGACACAUUUCCUUUUGGACCCUGGCAGAAGAACAACUGUUGAGAAGAGAGGUGAUACUUGUUUUUUGCUGUUCUACUUUCCCUACUGGAGGAGAGGAAUUCUGCUCACAGACUCUUCUGCCAUUCUCGGAUUACUGUACUGAUAAAAAUGAAUAGGAAAGUUUUAAAAGGAUAAAAGAAUAAAUACUUUGGACACCUAUGAGCAUGUAGGCCUUACUUGAGACAAAUGGAAAUAUUUCUGAUUAUUUAAGGCGAGUCUGGACCAAACUCUAUGCAACUGGCAUAAAAGCAGCUCUCUUGGCAUAGGUAGAACCUAUGCUUGUUCUGGUAUGCUCUGUUAUAUAUUAAAUUGGUUGAUGUGGGUAAAGUGGUGAAAAGAUUAGCCUUUUUUUCUCUCAUUGCCUUUGUUCUAGUUGAAACACCAAAUUCAUCAGAGAAGAAAAAUUUUCAGGUGCUAUAUCUCUAGACUGAUAAUUUAAUUGUCUACCUCUUCUUCUUUUUUUUUUUUUUU